AUUGAACGCUGGCGGCAUGCCUUACACAUGCAAGUCGAACGCGAAAGGGGGCAACCCUGAGUAGAGUGGCGAACGGGUGAGUAAUGUAUCGGAACGUACCCAGUAGUGGGGGAUAGCCCGGCGAAAGCCGGAUUAAUACCGCAUACGACCUACGGGUGAAAGCGGGGGAUCGCAAGACCUCGCGCUAUUGGAGCGGCCGAUAUCGGAUUAGCUAGUUGGUGGGGUAAAAGCCUACCAAGGCUACGAUCCGUAGCAGGUUUGAGAGAACGACCUGCCACACUGGGACUGAGACACGGCCCAGACUCCUACGGGAGGCAGCAGUGGGGAAUUUUGGACAAUGGGCGAAAGCCUGAUCCAGCCAUGCCGCGUGAGUGAAGAAGGCCUCGGUUGUAA
rnacentral:rRNA from 1 species